AGCGGGGUGGAGCAGUCCGGUAGCUCGUCGGGCUCAUAACCCGGAGGUCGCUGGUUCAAAUCCAGCCCCCGCAA
rnacentral:tRNA from 1 species